GUCCACACCGUAAACGCUGUCUACUAGCUGUGUGUGCCUUUAAGGCGUGCGUAGCGAAGCUAACGCGCUAAGUAGACCGCCUGGGGAGUACGGCCGCAAGGUUAAAACUCAAAUGAAUUGACGGGGGCCCGCACAAGCGGUGGAGCAUGUGGUUUAAUUCGAUGCAACGCGAAGAACCUUACCUACACUUGACAUGCUGAGAAGUUACUAGAGAUAGUUUCGUGCCUUCGGGAACUCAGACACAGGUGCUGCAUGGCG
rnacentral:rRNA from 1 species